UUGGCCGCGGCCGGCGCCGCGCCGCGGCCCUGCGCCUGGGCGGCGCGCAGCGCCUCCACCGCGGGGUCGGGCUGUUCCUUCAGCUCGGCCAGC
rnacentral:tRNA from 1 species